rnacentral:tRNA from 1 species
GGGGAAGUAGCUCAGUGGUAGAGUGCUUGCCUGAUAUGCACAAGAUUCUGGCUUCCAUCCCCA